GACGAACGCUGGCGGCGUGCUUAACACAUGCAAGUCGAACGGAAAGGCCCUGCUUUUGUGGGGUGCUCGAGUGGCGAACGGGUGUGUAACACGUGAGUAACCUGCCUUUUACUUUGGGAUAACUUCAGGAAACUGGGGCUAAUACCGGAUAGGAGCUCCUGCUGCAUGGUGGGGGUUGGACAGUUUCGGCGGUUGGGGAUGGACUCGCGGCUUAUCAGCUUGUUGGUGGGGUAGUGGCUUACCAAGGCUUUGACGGGUAGCCGGCAUGAGAGGGUGACCGGCCACAUUGGGACUGAGGUACGGCCCAGACUCCAACGGGAGACAGCAGUGGGGAAUAUUGCACAAUGGGGGGAAGCGUGAUGCAGAGACGCCGCGUGCGGGAUGACGGCCUUCGGGUUGUAAACCGCUUUCGCCUGUGACGAAGCGUGAGUGACGGUAAUGGGUAAAGAAGCACCGGCUAACUACGUG
rnacentral:rRNA from 1 species